UCCCUGGCGGUCCAGUGGUUAGGACUCAGCACUUUCACUGCUGAGGUCUGGGUUCAAUCCCCAGUCCAGGAA